AUUAGGUAGCAUGAUUGGCUGCUGAAAAGACUGUUGCGGCAGUCCUUGAGAACCCUGGGUCAUUGGCACCUAGAAGACAGUCAUCAAGAAGAAAAUGAAAUUACAAAAGUAGAAAACCCCUGUCUCUGAAAUUUCUCCAACCAAGAUUUUCAUGAUUCCAUGAAACUUUUUCGUAGAACACAAGCCUCCCAACAAAGUACUAAAGUGCUGGCAGUCUGAUCAUGAAAGCAAGCUAAGUCCCUUCCUGCAAUAGCCAGGAAGACUUUGUUAGCUAUCCCUCCCAAUUUGGUGUCAUCUGCAAACUUGAUGAUUGUGCCUUCUAACCCUUCGUCUAAGUCGUUAAUAAAGAUGUUGAACAGAACCGGGCCCAGGAUGGAACCCUGCAGCACUCCACUUGUGACUUCUUUCCAAGAUGAAGACGACG